rnacentral:rRNA from 1 species
AAUGAACGCUGGCGGUAGGCCUAACACAUGCAAGUCGAACGACAGCACAGUAAGAUCUUGCUCUUACCGGUGGCGAGUGGCGGACGGGUGAGGAAUACAUCGCAUUCUUCUUUUUCGUGGGGGAUAACGUAGGACCACUUCUACUACUACCGCAUACGUCCUACGGCUGAAAGCAGUAGUUCUUCAGACCUUUCGCGAUUGAAUGAGCCGAUUUCGGAUUAGCUAGUUGGCUGGGUAAAGGCCCACCAAGGCAACGAUCCGUAGCUGAGCUGAGAGGAUGAUCAGCCACACUGGAACUGAGACACGGUCCAGACUCCUACGGGAGGCAGCAGUGGGGAAUAUUCGGCAAUGGGCGAAAGCCUGACGCAGCCAUGCCGCGUGAGUGAAGAAGGUCUUCGGAUUGUAAAGCCCUGUUGUUGGGAAAGAAAAGAAGCAGGUUAAAACACGGCUGUUCUGACGGUACCUAAAGAAUAAGCCCCGGCUAACUUCGUG